rnacentral:rRNA from 1 species
GUACACUCCUACGGGAGGCAGCAGUGGGGAAUAUUGGACAAUGGGCGCAAGCCUGAUCCAGCCAUGCCGCGUGAGUGAUGAAGGCCCUAGGGUUGUAAAGCUCUUUCACCGGUGAAGAUAAUGACGGUAACCGGAGAAGAAGCCCCGGCUAACUUCGUGCCCGCAGCCGCGGUAAUACGAAGGGGGCUAGCGUUGUUCGGAUUUACUGGGCGUAAAGCGCACGUAGGCGGACUAUUAAGUCAGGGGUGAAAUCCCGGGGCUCAACCCCGGAACUGCCUUUGAUACUGGUAGUCUUGAGUUCGAGAGAGGUGAGUGGAAUUCCGAGUGUAGAGGUGAAAUUCGUAGAUAUUCGGAGGAACACCAGUGGCGAAGGCGGCUCACUGGCUCGAUACUGACGCUGAGGUGCGAAAGCGUGGGGGGCAAACAGGAUUAGAAACCCGAGUAGUCCCA